rnacentral:tRNA from 1 species
GCGCCCGUAGCUCAGUAGGAUAGAGCACAAGUUUCCUAAACUUGGUGUCGCACGUUCGAAUCGUGUCGGGCGUACCA